UUCCCCGAAUCUGUGAGUGCCUCUCCCUCGCGCACUCGAGCCGCCUUGCCCGGCGCCUCUCCAGCGAGCCCUAGCGCCUCUCCAGCGAGCCCUAGCGCCGACCACCGGAAGCCUCUACCUUCCUUCCCCUCUGAUCUGCGUGCCGAUCGCCACUGCCGCCGGUGACGCAAGGAGCAGCGCCGGUCAUCUUCCUCUCUUCUCCCGAUCGCGCCACUUUUCCUCGCCGGUACUCAAGCCGCCGCUGUGCCCUAGGUCUUUGCCGCCGGCCACCGCGAGUUCUAGCUGUCUUCACGGCUGUACUCCCCUCUUCUGCCCUGUGCCCUAGCCGUGAGCCACCCGAGCACCGCCGCACCUCUGCCCUAGGUGACGGCCAAAGGAGGAGAGGACCGUGCCCUAGUUGGGUUCACAGCCGCCGCCGCUCCUCUGCCCUAGCCUCAGCCGACGCCCCACUCCGAUGCCGACAGCCACCACCAAGCCCAUUUUCCCCUUCUGAUUCUUCACUACCGGUCGUGGUUGCUGCUCUCCUCUAGGACAGUCACUGGAAUUGGAGUUCUCUCCAACCACUGAUCUUCUUCUUCGGGUCGUGGACAGAAGCAGAGCAUUCAAGUCGUUCCUGUGGUCCCGUUUUGUUGUACCGUGCCCUAGCAGUGGUUAAAGUGGAGGAUGUUUCGGUCGCGAGGCAACUGUAGAGUCCUCAGAUUUGGGAGGGACAGUGAUUUCAUCUACGCUGGCAGAGAGUUAUACCAGCUAUACGUCAUUGGUGGAGCCAUCAAUUCUGGAUUUGAGUUGGAUGCGAUCUCUUGGACUUGUUGAGGACGGUUGAUACGACAUGCGUAUGA